AGUGAACGCUGGCGGUAGGCCUAACACAUGCAAGUCGAACGGCAGCACAGUAAGAGCUUGCUCUUACGGGUGGCGAGUGACGGACGGGUGAGGAAUACAUCGAAAUCUACUUUUUCGUGGGGGAUAACGUAGGGAAACUUACGCUAAUACCGCAUACGACCUACGGGUGAAAGCAGGGGAUCUUCGGACCUUGCGCGAUUGAAUGAGCCGAUGUCGGAUUAGCUAGUUGGCGGGGUAAAGGCCCACCAAGGCGACGAUCCGUAGCUGGUCUGAGAGGAUGAUCAGCCACACUGGAACUGAGACACGGUCCAGACUCCUACGGGAGGCAGCAGUGGGGAAUAUUGGACAAUGGGCGCAAGCCUGAUCCAGCCAUACCGCGUGGGUGAAGAAGGCCUUCGGGUUGUAAAGCCCUUUUGUUGGGAAAGAAAAGCAGCAGGUUAAUACCCCGCUGUUCUGACGGUACCCAAAGAAUAAGCACCGGCUAACUUCGUG
rnacentral:rRNA from 1 species